UAUACCGUCACGUAUGAACAGUUACUCUCAUACGUGUUCUUCUUUAACAACAGAGCUUUACGAGCCGAAANCCUUCUUCACUCACGCGGUGUUGCUCCAUCAGGCUUGCGCCCAUUGUGGAAGAUUCCCUACUGCUGCCUCCCGUAGGAGUCCCCCCGUGCCCCCGCCCCGCCCGCCGCGCGCGGCGGGCGG
rnacentral:rRNA from 1 species